GUUAAAAAGCUCGUAGUUGAAUUUCGGGGUUAGUAGGUUGGUCAUGCCUCUGGUAUGUACUGGUCUCACUGAUUCCUCCUUCCUGAUGAACCGUAAUGCCAUUAAUUUGGUGUUGCGGGGAAUUUGGACUGUUACUUUGAAAAAAUUAGAGUGUUUAAAGCAAGCUAACGCUUGAAUACAUUAGCAUGGAAUAAUGAAAUAGGACGUUCGAUCCUAUUUUGUUGGUUUCUAGGAUUGACGUAAUGAUUAAUAGGGAUAGUUGGGGGCAUUAGUAUUCAAUUGUCAGAGGUGAAAUUCUUGGAUUUAUUGAAGACUAACUACUGCGAAAGCAUUUGCCAAGGAUGUUUUCAUUAAUCAAGAACGAAAGUUAGGGGAUCGAAGACGAUCAGAUACCGUCGUAGUCUUAACCAUAAACUAUGCCGACUAGGGAUCGGAUGAUGUUAAUUUUUUAAUGACUCAUUCGGCACCUUACGGGAAAC
rnacentral:rRNA from 1 species